ACACCUCUAAUGGUAAUUAGUGUAAGUUUGAUAAUGAGCAUAUUUGUGUCUUAACAAGGAUGUGGUGGUCGAUAUCGAUGCUCCGUUGAUCCCAAACGCCACUGACAUUAUCAGAGAACGCCACCCGAAUGAACCGUUGGCUAAUGGAAUUUGGACACCAGAAUUCAGAAAACAUUUUAAUGUUGGAUCGUGAUCAGAGACUGUAAUGGAGGUGAUAAUCUUUUUUUGCGUAAUCUCAAAUUAGUGAGAAAUGUACUAACUCAAUAUAUAGAUACUAAGUCAAUUUUAUUAAUUAACGACAAGUAUAGUAUAUGAAUACUAUAUUUAAAUAACAAAUAAUUAUAUUAAUUAAUUAGCGACCUCAAUCAAUAGAUCAGAUAACUAGAUGAGAAUAUAGACGUAUAAAAUAACCUCUAAUUAAUGAUCAGAUGACAUGAAAAGGGAUAGCUUUUGAAAAAAAAACGUAAAAUAAAAAUCAAGUACUGAUUUAUACUGAUUCACUCAAAUUAGAGUUAAUUCAAUUUCGAUGAAACACGGAGACUACUCAUCUAAGGGUUUUGGUAAUAUUUCUUUGUAAACUUUUAUGGUUACAAAGUUUACGAACUUAAGUCUUUACAGACAUACACCUAAAAGUUAAUAGGUAACUUUAUAAUACCUCUCAAGUUUUUACAGGUAAGACCUUAGAGUUUUCUUGGUAACUAUAUAAAACAAAAUCUUAAACUUUUUGGUUCGAUCAACUCAAAAACCUCCAGUCUUUGCUCACACUUUAGUGAUCUUGAGAUAAAUCUCUCAAUCAAAGUGAAACACACACAAAAUAAUAGCGGUUGAGUGGGAAACUUAAACACAAAUCUCAUUAUUUACUUACUUUGAAGACUAAAAAGAUUAAAAGAAAAAUCGAUAGAUUUUUCCAGCUUGUAUGUGUUUGCAUGUGGUGAAAGAUUUUUUUGAAUAUUCUUCUUAUUUUAUAGACUUGACAAAUUAAUUUCCAUAAAUUUUCAAUUGAUGUUUUUUUGAUAUUGGAAGUUGAUUCUUGCAAAUUGAUUUUUUUGUUAGAAUAUAAUAUUGUACAUGAGUUGUCAAUACCCACAAUCAAUGAAUGAAUGUGAUGUCAGAAUAUAUGAUUAUAUUAUGAGUUAUCAAUAACCACAAUUAGCGUGACGACUUGAGCCUAUCGAACUGAAUACUUGAAUAUUUGGUUCGGUUCGUUUAAAUAAACGAGCAUAUUCUUGGGUUUGGAUUUGGUUCGUUUAAUAACCGAACCUAACCUAACCCGAACUUGAAUCCGAACUGAAUAGUUCGUCGAAUACUGAACUUUUUUUACAUCAUUUUAAAAAUAAACAUUAAAAAAAAAUAAACAUGUCCAUUGACAACUUUAAAAAAUAAACAAUAAAAAAACAUUAUUUAUAGUCUUUUUUUUAUUAAGUCAAUCUUUAGUCAUCUUUUUUUGUUGAUUAAAAAUCGACCUUAAUUAUGAAAUAUAUAAUAUAAAUUUAUAAUAAAAAAUUAUAUAAUAUAAGUUUCUAAUAUAAAUAUAAAAUAUAAUAAAAAUGUUUAAGGAACUAAACUGUUCGUCAAACCUCAACCAAGGUUUGAGUUCGGUUCGGGUUCGGUUCGUUUAAUAACCGAAUCGAACCGAAUCCGAAACAAACCGAAGAGUUCGUCGAAUGCCGAACUUUUGUUGUCACGUUACCCACAAUCAAUGAGAUAUACAUAAUAGCUAAUUUAGAUCUCUAAUUAUGGUCAAAUUGUAACAUAAUUAUAAUAACUUUUUGUAUAUAAAUAUAUAAAUCUUGAUGAAUCAAUCAUUAAGUCAUAUUUUACUGACGUUUUAUUUUUAUUUUUAUUUCUUUUUUUAAAGGUGAUUUAGAUUAAAAUUAAAAUAAAGAAAUUACAAAACUACAAUAAAAAGGAAAGAAAACAGUUAAUUAAACAAAUAAAAGUACAAUAAGAUGUGUAGAAUAAGUAUAGCUUGUUAAUUAUCGACUUUCAAUAGCGAGUUUUUACAACUUUUAUCAUUCUUUUUCUAUUCCCUUAUCAUCCUUUUCAACUUUUUUGACACAGAUAUCCAAGAUAUAUUAUCGAAUCCAAAUUCGACAACUAAGUCUAAUAGUCUAUAGGUGUUCUUAUUUUCUAAUUGAAUAAUAUUUUAACACUGGGAGUGAUAGGUUGAAAAUUCCAUAUAUAUAUAUAUAUAUAUAUAUACAACCUUCACAGUUCACACGGCACACAAAAUUAAUAUAGGUUCAAAAUUUGAAAAAGAAAACAAAUAUUAAUCAUAUUAUAAUUUCCCGACACAAAUUAACACAAUAAUGCUCACAGAGUCACAGGCUCACAGACAGGCAGCCAGCCUAGAAAGUUGAGAUUCGAAACAAAAUCUAAAUUAUAAUAAUAGAAUAAUUUUCAAGUGAAUCACUCUUAAGGGAGCCCAAAAAAGCUCAUGUUUAAGAUGUCAAACGAGUCAGUUCGAGUUAAGGAAUUAUCCAGGCUCCGAGCUCGGGCUCGGUUCGUUAAUAAAUUCUUCAGGCUUGGGUUUGAUAAGCUUAUCGAAAAAUAUCUAUAUUUAGUAUUUUUUUUAGAUUUAUGUUUUUAUAUAAGUUUUCUUAUAAUUUAUUAAGUAGCUUUAUCAAUUAAUAACUAUAAGUCUAUAACCCUUAUAUUUAUAUUAUAUUUAAUUAUUAAAAAUCUCUUAACGAGCCAAGUCGAGUUUGAAAAGUCCAAACUCGAGUUCAACUCGAUAAGCUUAUCGAGUUUAAGCUUUAGACUCGAGCUCGGCUCGUUGCUCGCGAAUCCGAACUUAACAAGCUGAACUUUAAUUGACACCCUACUCAUAUCAUCCUAAACUUUUAUUUAUUUAAUCUUUAAAAAAAAUAUUUCUAUCUUUUUUUUAAAUGAAAGAAAGAGACUGUUUUUUUUUCCGCUCAUAAUGGUUUUCUAUGAACUUUCUUCUAUAAUAAUAACAAUCAAACAAUAAUUCUCAUUAGCUAGCUGCGGACUUAAUUAUAUUGUUUUUUUUUUAAUAAAAUUAUCUGGUAAUAUAUAAAUUUUAAAAUAAAAAAAAGGUGUGAUCACAUGCGAUCCACCUCACAUCCUCCAAGUUGAUCCAACCACGUGAUCUUACGAUCAUUUAAGUCUUCAACAAUCUUUGGAGACUGAUUAGAUAUUUUCUAAAACGAUCUAUGCUAGUUGAACUUGGACAAUGAAAAGUAUAAAAACAUUGAAAAAGAACCCUGCCUACUUAUGUUGCGUUUAGUAAAAAGUCUUAGUUUUUUCCAUAAGCAAACAAAAUUCUGGCAGAGAAAAAAAGAACCCUAAGUGGACGUUUAAGUUUAAAGGUAGAUUCAGUGUCUACAUCCAAUAGAAAAAAAUUAUAAUGUCUUGUUAAAGUCAUUAUUGUUUUUGGCACUACUUUCUAAACAACCGCCCACCAUACAAACACACAAUCACCCAUGUGUGUUAAGAAGCAGUUAUUAUAUCGUCAUCUAUUCUAUUUUGCAGACAAGAUCGAAAAAGAAACCGAUGAUGAGUGAAUUGGUGGUACCUGAGUCGGCGAUAUGGGUGACGGUGUCGAGCUGGUUCACACCGAGAGUUCUCUUUGUCGUGCUCAACAUCGUUAUCGGAACUAUCGCCAUCAGAUCGAAACUAUCGAACACGUCUCAAUCCGACGACGGAAAUAGAAUCGAAGGUGGAGGAGAAUUCGAAUUUGGUCACGACGACCACUACUACCAACCGCGAUUGUUGUCACGCGGAUCAUCGAUCGUCGCCAGACUUAAAUCGAUCAACCUCCAUCGGCACGUCUCCUCCGCAUUCGCACCUUUCACGACCGAAACCCUGCAGCCACCACCAUCAGAAGAUGCAGUAAGAUCGAAACUAUCGAACACGUCUCAAUCCGACGACGGAAAUAGAAUCGAAGGUGGAGGAGAAUUCGAAUUUGGUCACGACGGCCACUACUACCAACCGCGAUUGCUGUCACGCGGAUCAUCGAUCGUCGCCAGACUUAAAUCGAUCAACCUCCAUCGGCACGUCUCCUCCGUAUUCGCACCUUUCACGACCGAAACUCUGCAGCAACCGCCAUCUGAAGAUGCAGUAACCACCUCUGAUCGUAAGGAAGAGAUCCAGAAAGAGCCAGAGAUGGAUCAAGUCGACUCGGAUUCAGUACUGACGAUGGAAGAAGCUUACAUGGCGGCCAAGAGAGGCAACACUAACCACAGCUUGUCUUUGCAGAACAAGGUCGUGAUGCAGGAGUUAAGGAAGAGUGUG
rnacentral:lncRNA from 1 species